rnacentral:sRNA from 1 species
AUUCUAUAUAGCCCCCGAGAUCCGAAACUCGAGUUAUAGUUAUAAUUAUUGCUGCUGCUGCUGCCGCCUGGUGGCUGCCGUCUUUUUCUUUAUUUUUAAUUCUCAAAUUUUGAGCGAAUGAGAGAGUAUGCGAGAGGACUGAACGAUCGCGACUAAGGCACAUUUUCAUUACAGCCAAUUAGUGUGCAUUUCAUAAUUGUUUAACAAAAUACAAAUAAGAAAAAUCAGAAUUUUUAUUCUGAAUCUAGCUAUUUUAAGUCUGCUGUUGUCACCUCUGUUAAGAGGUGUGGAGGCAACGAGAGAGCGAGAGAUGGUGAACGAGAGAUACAGAUACAAUGCGUGCGUGUGUGUGUGUGAACGCGAUUGCGUUGUUCUUAUUAACCGACUCGCUGGCUAACCGCCCCCCCGCCCAUGCCUUUUUGGGGCCCGAAACAUAAAAAGGCGGCAAAAUUAUUAAACACAAAUAUGGCAGAACAACAAGGAAUCCAGCCAGAGUGCAAUUUGAAUUCUGUCGUCCCUCGUUCCACGACGCACGGAGGCAGCUAGCUCCAGACGCUUGCUACAAAGUUGUUUAAUUACUGCCGCGAUUUACUUUGGGUAUUACUGAACCCUAACAACACUAUUACACAGCCCGCAAGGUAGUUUGGUUUGUUAAUUAGUCCGGUUCUUUUUUAUUUCUUGAACAUUUAACACGGAUCUCCAAUUGUAGUUGUAGUGCAAGAGGAAGAGAGCAAGAGAAGU